GGUUGUGGCUCAGAGGUAGAGUGCUCGCCUAGCAUACAUGAGGCACUGGGUUCAAUCCUCAGCACUA
rnacentral:tRNA from 1 species